CCUACGGGAGGCAGCAGUAAGGAAUAUUGGUCAAUGGACGAAAGUCUGAACCAGCCAUGCCGCGUGAAGGAUUAAGGCCCUCUGGGUUGUAAACUUCUUUUAUCUGGGACGAAAAAAGGGUAUUCUUACUCACUUGACGGUACCAGAGGAAUAAGCACCGGCUAACUCCGUGCCAGCAGCCGCGGUAAUACGGAGGGUGCAAGCGUUAUCCGGAUUUACUGGGUUUAAAGGGUGCGUAGGUGGGCUUGUAAGUCAGUGGUGAAAUCUCCGGGCUUAACCCGGAAACUGCCAUUGAUACUAUAGGUCUUGAAUUAUCUGGAGGUAAGCGGAAUAUGUCAUGUAGCGGUGAAAUGCUUAGAUAUGACAUAGAACACCAAUUGCGAAGGCAGCUUACUACGGAUAUAUUGACACUGAGGCACGAAAGCGUGGGGAUCAAACAGGAUUAGAUAACCCUGGUAGUCCACGCCCUAAACGAUGGAUACUCGACAUCAGCGAUACACUGUUGGUGUCUGAGCGAAAGCAUUAAGUAUCCCACCUGGGAAGUACGAUCGCAAGAUUGAAACUUAAAUGAAUUGACGGNNGAGAGNGACGAGACGACGACGAGGAGAGG
rnacentral:rRNA from 1 species